rnacentral:rRNA from 1 species
AUUGAACGCUGGCGGCAGGCCUAACACAUGCAAGUCGAACGGUAACAGGAAGAAGCUUGCUUCUUUGCUGACGAGUGGCGGACGGGUGAGUAAUGUCUGGGAAACUGCCUGAUGGAGGGGGAUAACUACUGGAAACGGUAGCUAAUACCGCAUAACGUCGCAAGACCAAAAAGGGGGACCUUCGGGCCUCUUGCCAUCGGAUGUGCCCAGAUGGGAUUAGCUAGUAGGUGGGGUAACGGCUCACCUAGGCGACGAUCCCUAGCUGGUCUGAGAGGAUGACCAGCCACACUGGAACUGAGACACGGUCCAGACUCCUACGGGAGGCAGCAGUGGGGAAUAUUGCACAAUGGGCGCAAGCCUGAUGCAGCCAUGCCGCGUGUAUGAAGAAGGCCUUCGGGUUGUAAAGUAUUUUCAGCGGGGAGGAAGGGAGUAAAGUUAAUACCUUUGCUCAUUGACGUUACCCGCAGAAGAAGCACCGGCUAACUCCGUG